rnacentral:tRNA from 1 species
GCUGUUUUGGCAGAUUAGUGCAAUAAAUUUAGAAUUUAUGAAAGUAAAUUUAUUUACAUUCAGUA